GAUGAGCGCUGGCGGCGUGCCUAAUACAUGCAAGUCGAGCGGUAACAGGUCUAGUUUACUAGAUGCUGACGAGCGGCGGACGGCUGAGUAACACGUAGGAACGUACCCCAAAGUGAGGGAUAACUGCUCGAAAGAGUAGCUAAUACCGCAUGUGAUCUAAGGAUUAAAGCUUUAUGCGCUUUGGGAACGGCCUGCGUUCGAUUAGCUAGUUGGUGAGGUAAUAGCUCACCAAGGCGAUGAUCGAUAGCUGGUCUGAGAGGAUGAUCAGCCAGACUGGGACUGAGACACGGCCCAGACUCCUACGGAGGCAGCAGUAGGGAAUUUUCCACAAUGGACGAAAGUCUGAUGGAGCAACGCCGCGUGCA
rnacentral:rRNA from 1 species